rnacentral:rRNA from 1 species
AACUUUGUCAUGAUUAAACCAUAUCUUAGGCCAAACUUUAGCAUGGUAAUUAAUGUAGCUCAAAGAUAAGCACUAAUAGAAACAUGAAUUAACCCAGCAAGAAGCAUUAAACAAUAUUAGAAAUAAUAAUUUAAUCAGAGCCUUUAGGUUCGACUAACUAGGUGCCAGCAGUCGCGGUCACACCUGGGAGCCAAAUUUAUGAAGCACAGACUGGCUAAAAAUGAAACUUAAUAAUUAAGUAAAAUUUCUAUUAAGCUAAAAUCUAACACCAAAUUUAGCCCAAACUUUGACUGUAAACCGGGAUUAGAUACCCCGCUAUACAAAGCCAAAAUCAAAAGUCUAAGCACUAAGACUUUAUAGUUAAAACUUAAAUGACAUGGCGGCAGCUUCAAAUUUCAGGGGAACUUACCAGGUAAAUGAUAAUCCACAAAGUACCCUACUCUUUCUUAAAGCUUGUAUAUCGCCGUCUUCAGAGCCCUUCUGAGAAGGGCUCAAAAUGUUAAGACAAAACAAAAAGACAGGUCAAGACGCAACCAAUGCUAGAGUCAUAAGGUGAGUUACAAUGAUAAUUAAUCUUGGAAUUUUUUUGAAAUUAAAGAAAAAAACCGGACUUGAAAGUAAAUGCUAUAAAAAACAUUACUUGAAUCCUAAAAAAGCUGUGCACAAAUCGCCCGUCACUCUCGUUGAAAAAGGAGAUAAGUCGUAACACAGUAAGUGUACUGGAAAGUGUACUU